AGUGGCGGACGGGUGAGUAACACGUAAGAAUUUGCCUUUAGGAGGGGGACAACAACUGGAAACGGUUGCUAAUACCCCAUAUGCUUUCGAGUGAAAUGGAUUUUUCCGCCUAAAGAGAAGCUUGCGGCUGAUUAGCUUGUUGGUGAGGUAAUGGCUCACCAAGGCGACGAUCAGUAUCUGGUUUGAGAGGAUGAUCAGACACACUGGAACUGAGACACGGUCCAGACUCCUACGGGAGGCAGCAGUGGGGAAUUUUCCGCAAUGGGCGAAAGCCUGACGGAGCAAUCUCGCGUGAGGGAUGACGGCCUAUGGGUUGUAAACCUCUUUUUUCAGGGAGGAACAAAAUGACGUGUACCUGAAGAAUAAGCAUCGGCUAACUCCGUGCCAGCAGCCGCGGUAAGACGGAGGAUGCAAGUGUUAUCCGGAAUCACUGGGCGUAAAGCGUCUGUAGGUGGUUUAAUAAGUCAACUGUUAAAUCUUGAAGCUCAACUUCAAAAUCGCAGUCGAAACUAUUAGACUAGAGUAUAGUAGGGGUAAAGGGAAUUUCCAGUGGAGCGGUGAAAUGCGUAGAUAUUGGAAAGAACACCGAUGGCGAAGGCACUUUACUGGGCUAUUACUGACACUCCCAGACGAAAGCUAGGGUAGCAAAUGGGAUUAGAUACCCCAGUAGUCCUAGCCGUAAACAAUGGAUACUAGAUGU
rnacentral:rRNA from 1 species